rnacentral:rRNA from 1 species
GACGAACGCUGGCGGCGUGCUUAACACAUGCAAGUCGAGCGGUAAGGCCCUUUCGGGAGUACACGAGCGGCGAACGGGUGAGUAACACGUGGGUGACCUGCCCUCAGCUCUGGGAUAAGCCUGGGAAACCGGGUCUAAUACUGGAUAUGACUCCAUGACGCAUGUUGUGGGGUGGAAAGCCUUGUGCGGCUGAGGAUGGGCCCGCGGCCUAUCAGCUUGUUGGGGGGUGAUGGCCUACCAAGGCGACGACGGGUAGCCGGCCCGAGAGGGCGACCGGCCACACUGGGACUGAGACACGGCCCAGACUCCUACGGGAGGCAGCAGUGGGGAAUCUUGCGCAAUGGGCGAAAGCCUGACGCAGCGACGCCGCGUGAGGGAUGACGGCCUGG